GCAAGAAGAUCUCAGGCUGUGACACUCUAGAGGGAAGCGCUUUCUGUUUUCUGAAAAAGAAAGUGCAUCCUUUUAGAGUGUUACUGUUUGAGAAAAGCAACGUUGAAG
rnacentral:pre_miRNA from 2 species